GAUGAACGCUGUCGGCGUGCCUAAUACAUGCAAGUCGAGCGAACGGACGAGAAGCUUGCUUUUCUGAUGUUAGCGGCGGACGGGUGAGUAACACGUGGAUAACCUACCUAUAAGACUGGGAUAACUUCGGGAAACCGGAGCUAAUACCGGAUAAUAUUUUGAACCGCAUGGUUCAAAAGUGAAAGACGGUCUUGCUGUCACUUAUAGAUGGAUCCGCGCUGCAUUAGCUAGUUGGUAAGGUAACGGCUUACCAAGGCAACGAUGCAUAGCCGACCUGAGAGGGUGAUCGGCCACACUGGAACUGAGACACGGUCCAGACUCCUACGGGAGGCAGCAGUAGGGAAUCUUCCGCAAUGGGCGAAAGCCUGACGGAGCAACGCCGCGUGAGUGAUGAAGGUCUUCGGAUCGUAAAACUCUGUUAUUAGGGAAGAACAUAUGUGUAAGUAACUGUGCACAUCUUGACGGUACCUAAUCAGAAAGCCACGGCUAACUACGUG
rnacentral:rRNA from 1 species